CAUGCCGUAAACGUUGGGCACUAGGUGUGGGGAACAUUUCCACGUUUUCCGCGCCGUAGCUAACGCAUUAAGUGCCCCGCCUGGGGAGUACGGCCGCAAGGCUAAAACUCAAAGGAAUUGACGGGGGCCCGCACAAGCGGCGGAGCAUGCGGAUUAAUUCGAUGCAACGCGAAGAACCUUACCAAGGCUUGACAUGCACUAGAUCGCCCUAGAGAUAGGGUUUCCCUUCGGGGCUGGUGUACAGGUGG
rnacentral:rRNA from 1 species